rnacentral:rRNA from 1 species
GUCUACGGCCAUGCCACCCUGAAUGUGCCUGAUCUCGUCUGAUGUUGGAAGCUAAACAGGGUCAGGCCUGGUUAGUACUUGGAUGGGAGACCACCUAGGAGUACCGGGUGCUGUAGGCA